rnacentral:lncRNA from 1 species
GUUGUAGUUAAUUCAAGAUUUAGAUAGUCUGGUGUUCAUUUUUUUUUAUACAUCAAUAACUUUGUAAAAUCUUCAUGAGAGGUAUUAACAUGGACAGAAUAGAAGUGUUUUCAAAAUACAGAUGUAGCAUCUAGAGUAAAAAGUCGAUUUUGUUUCAGAUACAUUGACUCAGACUCAAGUCAUGACCGUAAACUUUGCACUUUAAACUGACAGCAGCAACGAGGGGGAGGACAGGGGGUACCCUUCUACCUUCUCCCACCCCUCUUCUCCUUUCUCCUUCCUCCCAUUAGAAUAAAACAUCUCCUUUUGAGAUAUUUUUUCUUGAAAUAUUAGAUCAUUUUUUAAAAGGAGAGAUAUUUUAUUUUUUUUCCUUUCUCCAACUUUUUCUCCUUUCUCCCAGCCUUCCUCUCCUUUCUCCUACCCCUUUCUCCUUUCUCCCACCCCCUUUCUCCCCGUCUCCCUUACCCCUGUCCUCC